rnacentral:lncRNA from 1 species
AUGCCAUCAAGAGGAAGAGAAAAAGAGAAGAUGCCCAUCGACAGUCCAACAUCGGAAAAGAGAAGAAGAGGAGAAAGGGAGAAACCAUAUAUCUAUCUCUGGGCUACAAGAAGUUAAAAGAAGAAACAGGAAGGAAACAACCUUGAGAGGAGAAGAUGGCCGAUAGCAUCGAAGCACUGGAAAAGAAGAUAGAAAGACUUUCGGAUGGGGGGGGGGAGCUUAACUACUAAGGGGGUUAAUCAACACAAGAGAGAAAAGAGAGGAGGAAGAAACAAUCUGGUCUCUAGGUACAACACCAAGAUAUACAAUGAAAUCUAGCAGUCGAGGAAGAUAGAAUGGCAGCGAUGAUGCCAAUAGUGCUGGAAAAGGAGAGAGAGAGAAAUAAGGAGGAGGCAUCCGAUAGCUGGA